AGGAAUCAUGUCGAGAUGGACUCAAGCACGGAAGGCUAACGGGUCAAAAGGAGGCAAGGAAGCGGACACGAACACAGAUGCUUAAGGUCCGGCAGACUUAAUAUUAACAUGAAGAAUAAGAGGAUUGAAGAUCGAGUCAAGUGUUUGGAUUGUACGGAAGGAAUGGUCACUUUGCUUGAUUUAUGUAUUUCCUUGAGAGGUUAAUUUAAUGGAAUGUUGUAAAUUUCUUACUAGUAAAUGUUUGAUAUUUUGUAUUUGAACCUUAAUUUAAGUAACGUGUCAAGGAAAGAAAGAAAUUUUAAAACU